ensembl:misc_RNA Metazoa_SRP Metazoan signal recognition particle RNA
GCCGGGCGUGGUGGCGCAUGCCUGUAAUCCCAGCUACUUGGGAGGCUGGGGCAGGAGAAUCGCUUGAACCCAGGAGGCGGAGAUUGCGGUGAGCCGAGAUCGUGCCAUGACACUCCAGCCCCUGGGUGAUAGAGUGAGACUCCGUCUCAA